GGAGCCAUGUAUUUAAGGAGACGAAGUCCAAACAUCAGUAGAGUGGCGAUGCAGAUUUUUCAGUGACAAAUGUAUCUAUUUUUGAAAUUCCUGGUCUGAUUAUGCUAUCAUUUAUGACUCAACCAUUGCUUUUAAACCGUUUCUGCACCUACAUUUAUACCAUUCUCUCUUUGAAUAUGUAUUAUGUGGACAUAUUUAUACAUCUAUCUUUGGAAUUCUUCAAGCAUUAUCCCAUCUCUACACAUGGCACUCAGCUCAGCCUUUGUCAUCAAUUUACUCUUUAGGCCUGCUUACAAGAUGGGUUUGCAUGACAGCUGCUCUUAUUCCCAUUUAGCAAAUCUCUCUCAAGCUUUGCUAUUUUGGUGUAGCAGGGUAACCAACUCAGUAAGUAAACCUUUCUUCCCUUUCAACCCAUUCUUCCUUACUCUCACACUCAAGAUACAACACCACAACAGCUGAAAUUCUUCCCCUCACCCAAAAGAAAAAUUUACCUGAACACAAGAGCAUAUCAACCAAAUUGUAUCUUAUUUUUCUUUAAACACGCUUUCCUUACCUCCACCGAGAUAUGAUAAAAUUUACCUUAGUGUGCUGGGAAAUCACUGGAUCUCCCAUGCCAACAGCCAGCAGAAGACAGGGCAGGCAGGGUGCAGGCUGGGAAACGUUUCAUCUCUCCAGUGAGGAGUGACUUCCUUGUUCCUGAGAUUAUAUUAUCCUUCAAUUCAGUGGAAGGGACAAUGCAGAGAGGAAAGCAUUCACAAUGUUUUAGCUGAGGGAAUGGGCCUGCCAUACCAUCGCCUGGUCACCACUGCCAUGUCCAACCUGGAGCCACUUGGCAUGUUGACACAGGACCACCACAGUAAUACAGAGCACCUUAGAGCACUUGGCAGGAGGGUGAUGUACUUCUCAACACCACAGCACUUCUUCAAGGCCCUAUUGUUGGUGUCUGUGUUCAGGAGGUCAUGGCAUCUUCCAGGGCAGCAUUGACCUUCACUCCAAGCCACAAGAGGUUAAGGCUAAGGCUGACCACACCAGUGACUUAUUGGCAAUGUACGUACAGUCUGCAAAAGGAAUGCUGUUUGUAUAACAAUUACAUCAAUAAACUUCACUUCUGCAAUGACAAGAAUCUCAGCUAUAAAUAUGCAAAGUUUAUUGAAGG